rnacentral:ncRNA from 2 species
ACACCUGCUUAGAACGGGAAGAGUACAAAAAAGGCGCAUGCAGAGAGAGAAGCCGUUUGCUGAAAGGCUUCUUAUGUUGUCUGAUUGGAAGGUCGCCCGGGAGCAUAAUUUCUUGAAAGAAGAGUAGAGAAAUUCGGGAAACACCCGUUAUCCGUUAUAAGUGCAUGAACUGAUUGAGUUCAUGAAAAAAGGUGGUACCGCGAAAGAGCUUUUCGUCCUUUUA